rnacentral:rRNA from 1 species
UACGUAGGGGGCAAGCGUUGUCCGGAAUUAUUGGGCGUAAAGAGCGUGUAGGCGGCCAGAUAAGUCCGCUGUGAAAUCUCGAGGCUCAACUUCGAGCUGUCGGUGGAAACCGCGUGGCUAGAGUCCGGAAGAGGGGACUGGAAUUCCCGGUGUAGCGGUGGAAUGCGCAGAUAUCGGGAGGAACACCCGUGGCGAAGGCGGGUCCCUGGGACGGUACUGACGCUGAGACGCGAAAGCGUGGGGAGCGAACAGG